AGAAGUCCAGGAACUUACCCAUCAGACAUUGACUGAGCACCUGCUGUGUUCAAAAGAUGGUGCUAAGUGCUGGGACACAUGAAAAGGGAGCACCCUUGCCUUCAGCCGUGAGCCAGUGAGUGGCCCAAAGAAGGGGUCCCUCGGUCUGCCGGGCAGGCUUCGUGGAAGAGGUGGCCUUCAAGGUGACUUGGAGGUUGCCCUGAAGAGAUUAAAAACCCAGGUGUUUCCACAGCAUUCCAGCGUCAUGUGCUACUCCAAAAUCAUAACGGCAGUCAGUAUAAAUAUUUGCCACCUGGUCUUUAG
rnacentral:lncRNA from 1 species